UUUAAUUGUGUAAACCAGUUUUAAAAGGGAGGAAAAAACGUGAAGCCCAAUUGGUAUAGAAGACCUAGAAAAAAAAAUCUAAGUUUCAGCUGUUUUCAUCGGGAAAAAAUAUCUUUGUUUCUCUCUCUAUUACCAUUGAAAGGUUGUCUCUUUCUCAUCGAUCUGCGAAGAUUCAUACUCCGAUCGUUCAGUGAAGCUGUUCUGGAUGGAAUUAGUUUCUGGAUCGAUGAGUUUUUGUGUCUGAAGUAUAUUAGAAGGAAACCAUUUGAUCUUCUCUGUCUCCAUGGAUAACGGAGCUGUCUGAAAACAUAACAGCUAUUGAUGUUUCUAUCAGCAUCUUACUAUUCAACUCCAAUCUAUGAAAUCAUUUUGGUAGGGAACGAAAGUGACGAAAUUUCAGUGAAGUAUGAAGGACGUGUACUGCCUAAUAAGAUAAGUCAUGUAUUGGUUACAGUUAUAAAUCUAAAUAGUCUGUGUUGUAAUGUUGUCAUCUAAUGGAACUCUUGUAUUUGUUCUUCAGGACUUAUAAAAAAAACUGGAAGAUAGGAGAGAAAUCAACUUUACUGACCCGCCCCUAUCAGGGAUAGCUUCUCUGUUAUUUUUUUUUAUAUUUCUAUUAGAUAAACUCUAAUAUAUUUCGUAACAAAAAGCUACUACAACUUGUGUUCUAACUCUGUAUUAUUUUUCAGGAGCCGCUGGAAAAAAAGAAUAAGUUCAGAAACGACAUUGAGGAAAGGAACACGGAGUGCAUUCAGAAACAACCUUUAGCAUUGGAAUAACAUGCCUGUAGGAAACAACGGGGUUAUUGAUGGAGAAAUUUUCAAUGUUUCUCCACAUUCCAACAGCAAGCACAUUUGAAAGUUUCCUCGUCAACUUAUCAAGGUAUGGAGCACCUUCACUUGUACACGAUACUCUGUCAUGAAAGGUUUGAUGUCAGCCAAAGGAGUGAGUUCCAUGAUUAAAGGUAUUUCUGUAGCGAUAAAGUUCGUGAGUUUUGAUUUUAGGAAGUGUGAUAAGAGUAUAGGCUGUAGGAAGGAUAUAUAUAACCACCCUCUGUUGAUGGAACCGCUAUUUAGUUAAGAUCGUAUAAAAAAUCAAAUUUUUUUUCGCAACGA